AUAAGCCCGAGAGAUUUUAAAGAGUGUGCUCUUUCAGGCACAUUCAAUAAUUAGCGGAAUAAGCCCAAGAGAUUUUAAAGGGUGUGCUCUUUCAGGCACACUCAAUAAGAUGUUGAAGAAUAAGAACAAGCUCGGUGGAUAACAUAUAGUGUGCGCUUUCAGGCACACUCAACUACAAGAUGAAGUAGGAAAGGUAGGGUGUUGUGGAGGUAGCAGAGUGGAACAGGUGGUCAUGAGGAGAUUAAGAAUAGGGCACAGUAGAUUGAAUAGAACACUCAAUAUAGUAGGGAAACAUCCAACUGGUCGAUGUAGCUGUGGGGAGAGAGAGACAGUGGAGCAUGUAAUUACAGCGUGUCCUAGAUAUGAAAGAGAGAGGGAAGUGAUGAGUACAGGGCUGCUGAAGGCAGGAAUAGUGGAAAAUAACUUCAAUAGUAUAGUAGAAUGUGGAAAAUCUAGGGAAGGGAGGAGAAUUAUUGUGAGAUUUCUUGUCUCAACUGGACUAAUCAAAAGAAUAUAGCAGAAGAGGAAAUAAGAAAGAAGUCCAGCAGAUGGCAGUAAAUGCAACAUUAAGGAUGCCGACUGCCAAUAAACACCAAAGAAGAAGAAAAGAAAAAAAAAAGAGAGAGAGAGAGAGAGAGAGAGAGAGAGAGAGCAUAUAUACAAAAAAAAGAAGAGAAGAGAGUGAGUUUGUUCUCAGAGUAGCGUUAUUUCAUCAGAUGGAAUACCUGCAGUGGAACACUGCACAACAUGCUGCAGUCAGUUCCACUGCCCCGUGUCCCAAACACCUUUUUAAACCAAGCAAGCCAGGCAGAGUUCGGCAGCAUUUGGAGGUCCACACCAAAAAUGCCAUUACAUUUUAAGACUGAGUACCUGUGGCGGUAGGGGCCUCACAGUGGGGGUCUGCAGUUUUACUUUGAAAAAUUUUCGGGCCUGACAGUGGAGAUCUGCAGCCAGCAUCUCUUGACGCAGUCUGGUUCAGAAGCGUCCCAGAGGCCACCUGCUGGCUCCACGGGGAAUAUGUGAGAAGCCCCUGGCUGCCGCCCGCAGAUCAUAUUGAGCCACGCCCACUUGCCCCUGCAUUGGAUCGCCGAAGAAGAAUGUGUGCAGACGAAGAAGAAGUAAAUCAGUUUGCAAAAUGGAGGUUAUGCUCUGUAUGUAUUUGCGUUCUACACCUUGAUGAUUCACCGUGUUCUUCGUUCCUAGAUUACCAGUCCGUAAUCUGGUGUAGGCUACGGAGCAUUUUACCGAGACAUGUCAGUAUACUGCUGGAAGGUGAUACAACAACCAUGUAUCAAUGCACCAACAGUGGACUAUUCCACUGCCCCUUUUGCAAGUAUGCGGCUGCAACGAAACUGGUGGACUACCAUAUCAAAGAUCAUUCGUCAGUGAAGUACAGAGGUGACUUGCCCCUUCCUCUUCCUGCUUUGAUUGUUUCCACCUGUUCCCCACCGCCUUAAAUGUGUAUACUUUGUCUGCAUUUCCCUUUGUUUUGUGCCAUUCACCUUGUCCAGUGAUCCAGUGUCUCCAGGCAUGUCCAAACUAUUCCAUAAAGGGAUGGUGUGGCUGCAGGUUUUCGUUCCAAGCAAUUGCAGCAUGCCAGACUUGGCUCAGUUAAUCAACUAAUCACAGUGUUCAGACAGUCAGACUGUUGUUGCUUUUGAUUGGCUGGAAAAAAAACCCUGCUGCCACACAGCCCUUUGUGGAGUAGUUGGGACAUGCCUUGUCUACUCAAACUUUCCCUUCCCCAAGUCAUCUCGAUGGACCAGAAAGGUUGCUUGUAGUGAUGUGUCGGUCGUGAACGAGCCGGUUCAAAGAGCUGGCUGUUUUACAGUUUUUCUCCAUUGGGUGGCUCAGUGCUUGAACUGAGGAGGA